rnacentral:lncRNA from 1 species
GAGACAGAGUUUCGCUCUUGUCAUCCACCUGGAGUGCAAUGGCACAAUCUCGGCUCACUGCAACCUCUGCCUCCUGGGUUCAAGUGAUUCUCCUGCCUCAGCCUCCUGAGUAGCUGGGAUUACAGGCACCCACCACCAAACCCGGCUAAUUUUUGUACUUGUAGUAAAGAUGGGGUUUCAUUACGUUGGCCAGGCUGGUCUCGAACUCCUGACCUUGGGUGAUCCACCUGCCGCAGCCUCCCAAAGUGCUGGGAUUACAGGCGUGAGCCACCACGCCUGGCCAUAUUUUUUUUUUUUUUUUGAGACAGGGUCUCGCUCUGUCGCCUAGGGUGGAGUGCAGUGGCGUGAUCUCAGCUCACUGCAACUUCCUCCUCCUGGGUUCAAGCGAUUCUCCUGUCUCAGCCUCUCAAGUAGCUGGGAUUACAGGCGUGUGCCACCAUGCCUGGCUAAGUUUUUGUAUUUUUAGUAGAGACUGGGUUUCACCAUGGUCAGGCUGGUCUCGAACUCCUGACCUCAAGUGAUCUGCCAGCCUCAGCCUCCCAAAGUGCUGGGAAUACUGGCAUGAGAACCACCACGCCUGGCCAGAAAAUAGUUAAAGUAAAGGAACCACUGGUGGAUGCUAAAAUUAUGGAAAGUGUAAGUGGAAAAAGGAUAUUUACAGUCUCGAAUUAACAGACAAAGUGGCCUGGUGUGAUGGCUCAUGCCCGUAAUCCCAGCACUUUGGGAGGCUGAGGCUGAAGUGGGCAGAUCACUUGAGGUCAGGAGUGCGAGACCAGCCUGGCCAGCAUGGCAAAGCCCCGUCUCUACUAAAAAUACAAAAA